GAGACAGAUCGCGGCCCUAAGCACCGCCGGCGCUGACACGCGAGUCCCCGGGCGCUCCAUAUCCUGGGCUAGGCCCACCUGGGACCCCACGGGGCCUCCUGACCCCAGCAGGAUGCAGGCCAUGGAAUGGGGUGUCCAUUUGGUCACCUGCUUGAAUCUGAAUCAAUUUUACGUUCCAGUUGCCUAGUCCAGGGCCUGGUACACAAUAGAUGCUCAAUAAAUGCUGGAACGAAUGGAUUAGGAUCCAGAGGUUGUUUAAAGAAAGAUCUUAAGGCGUUCUAGGAAAGGCUCUGGCUUUCUGCAGAUUCUUCUCAAGGGAGGCUGUGACCCAAAAGAUUUGGAGCUGAUGCUGAACAACCUUAUGUUACAGGAGGGGGUCUGGGGACCUCAAAGUGGAGAAGAAGCUGGUUCAAGGUCACCUAGAAAUUUAGCAGCAAGUUGGAAAGAAGAACUCAAGACUCCAGACUGUACAACGCUAUUUAAUGUCUGACUAAAGGUCACCUCCUCCGGGAAGCCUUCCCUGAACUCAUCCCAUCUUCUGCGUUACAUCGCAUAUACUUCGACUGCUGCUAAGUCACUUCAGUCAUGUCCAACUCUAUGCUACCCCAUAGACAGCAGCCCACCAGGCUCCCCUGUCUCUGAGAUUCUCCAGGCAAGAACACUGGAGUGGGUUGUCAUUUCCUUCUCCAGCGCAUGAAAGUGGAAAGUGAAAGUGAAGUCGCUCAGUUGUGUCUGACUCUUAGCGACCCCAUGGACUGCAGCCCACCAGGCUCCUCCAUCCAUGGGAUUUUCCAGGCAAGAGUACUGGAGUGGGGUGCCAUUGCCUUCUCCAAUAUACCUCGACAGGACACCCUUUAUCACAACAAGCCACUUCAGUGAAAUCUGUCCCUGCUAGAGUGAGACAUCCUUGAGAUAAGGGACUGCAUCUUAUUCACCCUUGUGUGGUAUGGCUGGUGUUUAUUACAUAAGCAUUGUUGUUUAUUGUGUGUCUACUAUGUGCCAAGGCGCUUAUGUAAUGCUCACUCCCCUUCACAAUUGUCCUACAAGGUAGGUAAUAUUGUCUUCAUUUUACAGAUGGGGAAAAAAAAAGUCUCCUGGAGCUCAAAGUGGCUUGUCCAAGUUCCCCCCAGGGAGUGAGUGGCAGAGUUGGGAUUUGAAUCCAAAAUGCUUUUGCACCUCCUACACCACCAGUGCUGCCGUGGUGUUUGUUCAGCAUCCAGCUGAGGGCAGCGUGGCCCUCACGGCGGGCCCUCUCAACUGGGCUGUGGAGCAGCCGGAAGUACAGAGCCCAGCUCACCCACCAUCCUGGGAGAAAGAAAUUGCAAAGGGGGGAAAAGAAUUUGACCUUCACGGAGCUCACAAUCCACUGGAGAGAUGGCUCAGACACCAGUGGAGGAGCCAAUAGAACAAAUGCAGUCCAUCACAAACUCUUUUUAAAAUGUAUUAUGUGUAGGAAUGACACCCCUCAUAGAAAAUCCCAGGAUUUUCUCUUCUGUGUGUUUCUGUCUCGCUUCCUUGCAGCCAUGAUACUAGCUGAGGUCAUCGGUGCAAUGAGAUGAAAGAAGAUGAUCCUGUCACUUUUCUAGAUCUUUGAGUGAUACGUCAAAUUCAAGGCUAAUCACACUUACUUGACCUGUG
ensembl:lncRNA